rnacentral:other from 1 species
GCGGUGCUGCCUGGUGCGUCCGGAGACCGAUUCCCAGGGGCCGAUACCAACCGUCUAGGGAGCUGUCCCUGGCCGGGACCCUUGGUCCCGGACACACGGCGCCCACCUGCUAUGGCAGGUCCCGGCGGAUUCAUCCUCCAACGGCCAAGGCGGCCCGCA